rnacentral:rRNA from 1 species
AGUGAACGCUGGCGGUAGGCCUAUCACAUGCAAGUCGAACGGCAGCACAGUAAGAGCUUGCUCUUACGGGUGGCGAGUGGCGGACGGGUGAGGAAUACAUCGGAAUCUACUUUUUCGUGGGGGAUAACGUAGGGAAACUUACGCUAAUACCGCAUACGACCUACGGGUGAAAGCAGGGGAUCUUCGGACCUUGCGCGAUUGAAUGAGCCGAUGUUGGAUUAGCUAGUUGGCGGGGUAAAGGCCCACCAAGGCGACGAUCCGUAGCUGGUCUGAGAGGAUGAUCAGCCACACUGGAACUGAGACACGGUCCAGACUCCUACGGGAGGCAGCAGUGGGGAAUAUUGGACAAUGGGCGCAAGCCUGAUCCAGCCAUACCGCGUGGGUGAAGAAGGCCUUCGGGUUGUAAAGCCCUUUUGUUGGGAAAGAAAAGCAGCAGGUUAAUACCCCGCUGUUCUGACGGUACCCAAAGAAUAAGCACCGGCUAACUUCGUG